rnacentral:lncRNA from 1 species
AUCUAUUAGAUCAUUCUAUCCAAUAAUUUAUUAAAUGCUAUUGCCAACAUGUAUUAAAUCAUAUCUAAAUUUUUUUCUUUUUCAACAUAAUUCAUUACAUUUGACAACAAAAAACUAGAUUCUCUUAGAAAUUUUAGAUUUAAAUAUUUUUCUAGAUUUACUUCCAUCCAAUAUAUUAAUGCUUCAUUUUUUGAGAUUU